AAAAUUACUAUUCUGUGCUUUAGCUAAUAAUUGAGUUUACAUUCUUUGUGGCCUUUACACUAUAUAGAAUAUACAUGUUUUUCCUGUUUGUUAAUAAGUAAUUGAGAUGGGUUAAAAUGCAAAACGGCAGAAUAGGCAUUUAUUAAUCGAAAUACAUGACACCAUGAAGACAAAAGGCUAAAGCCAGCCACCCCGAAAGCAGUUAGAUACCUUUUUAUUUUUCCUGCCGCAGGCACUUAGUUGGAGGAUGUCAAUUAGGUGGGACAAAGACCAUAUAGAGAAUAAAGUGCUUUAAACCAACACAAAGGAUAAAGCAAACAAGUAUUCAUAGACUUCUAUCAAUAAUUCAAUAGCAAAGAGGUCAUAAUUGUCACACAGAUCAAUAUUGUUUCUGUUUCUCCACCAUCGAGCCCCUCUCUGCUUCCUUAAUCUUUCAACACACAGCUCCAAAGUUCCAAAUUUAAUGCUAUAAGGUUUUUUUUAGAAAUAAAAACAAAUUUUGUGCCUCUGUCUUUUUUCUUUUUUAACACUUAAAUUGUAAGAAUUGAUUUUUUUUUUUGGUGAUAAUAGACUGUUUUGUAUCUUUGUCAAGCUGUUCUAUUUUUUGAGUUUUUAAAUGUUAAUCAAACACAAAACCAUGUUGUCGUCUUCUCCAUUGCUCCAAGCGGCGGAGAGCUUCCAUCACAGCUGGAAUCAAUAACGCUCUUCCAAGGAAUGUGAUGCAUGAAUAGAUAAUUACUGUGACUGUGGCAUAGGAGGAACGUCAAUGAGUUGCAAGAUUCCAUAAUUACUCUUCAGCAUGUGAAAAUAAAUGCCUGCAGUGCUGAUUCUAUUGCUGCGAGUGUUAAAAGAUGCCUGCAGAGUCACAGCAAGCUUGGAAACAAAAGUAGGUUACAGCCUGAGAACGUGAGGACGAGCUGCACGGGGGCCGGUGUUGCGUUCGACCACAUUACAGAGUGAAAAUAACACUGGAACGAUGCUUUACUCGCACUUUUUAAUUUUUAAUUUUUCCUGCUACUAUUGUGAGAGCUGGGCGCUUCAGGUUUCAAGUCCACAUUUUAGUCAAGUCCAAGAUGGUGAAAGCUUUUUGCUGCUCACUCGUUGGUUGAAUAGAAAACGGGUGCAUCCUUGUUUGACUGCUCUCCGUUCUCCCAAAGAGGUGAAUCGGAGGUGAAGGGCUGAACAAUGGACCAUUCGUCAUUAAAAGUCCCCCAUGUUUAACUAACCAUGGGUGAUAUCGGUGAAUGCCUCCAUUGAAUGCUUUGUGGUUAAGCUGUCCAACAGUGACGCCAUGUAUCUGUGUUUUUUCUACA
ensembl:lncRNA